UACGUAGGGUGCGAGCGUUGUCCGGAAUUAUUGGGCGUAAAGAGCUUGUAGGUGGUUUGUCGCGUCUGCUGUGAAAAUCCGAGGCUCAACCUCGGACUUGCAGUGGGUACGGGCAGACUAGAGUGUGGUAGGGGAGACUGGAAUUCCUGGUGUAGCGGUGGAAUGCGCAGAUAUCGGGAGGAACACCAGUGGCGAAGGCGGUUGCCUGGAGCUUUGCUGACGCUGAUGCGCGAAAGCGUGGGGAGCGAUCCGG
rnacentral:rRNA from 1 species